AGAGUUUGAUCCUGGCUCAGGAUGAACGCUAGCUACAGGCUUAACACAUGCAAGUCGAGGGGAAACGAUAUUGGAAGCUUGCUUCCGAUAGGCGUCGACCGGCGCACGGGUGAGUAACGCGUAUCCAACCUGCCCACCACUUGGGGAUAACCUUGCGAAAGUAAGACUAAUACCCAAUGACGUCUCUAGAAGACAUCUGAAGGAGAUUAAAGAUUUAUCGGUGAUGGAUGGGGAUGCGUCUGAUUAGCUUGUUGGCGGGGUAACGGCCCACCAAGGCAACGAUCAGUAGGGGUUCUGAGAGGAAGGUCCCCCACAUUGGAACUGAGACACGGUCCAAACUCCUACGGGAGGCAGCAGUGAGGAAUAUUGGUCAAUGGGCGAGAGCCUGAACCAGCCAAGUAGCGUGCAGGAAGACGGCCCUAUGGGUUGUAAACUGCUUUUAUAAGGGAAUAAAGUGAGUCUCGUGAGACUUUUUGCAUGUACCUUAUGAAUAAGGACCGGCUAAUUCCGUGCCAGCAGCCGCGGUAAUACGGAAGGUCCGGGCGUUAUCCGGAUUUAUUGGGUUUAAAGGGAGCGUAGGCCGGAGAUUAAGCGUGUUGUGAAAUGUAGACGCUCAACGUCUGCACUGCAGCGCGAACUGGUUUCCUUGAGUACGCACAAAGUGGGCGGAAUUCGUGGUGUAGCGGUGAAAUGCUUAGAUAUCACGAAGAACUCCGAUUGCGAAGGCAGCUCACUGGAGCGCAACUGACGCUGAAGCUCGAAAGUGCGGGUAUCGAACAGGAUUAGAUACCCUGGUAGUCCGCACGGUAAACGAUGGAUGCCCGCUGUUGGUCUGAACAGGUCAGCGGCCAAGCGAAAGCAUUAAGCAUCCCACCUGGGGAGUACGCCGGCAACGGUGAAACUCAAAGGAAUUGACGGGGACCCGCACAAGCGGUGGAGCAUGUGGUUUAAUUCGAAGCAACGCGAAGAACCUUACCUGCUCUUGACAUCUCCCUGACCGGCAAGUAAUGUUGCCUUUCCUUCGGGACAGGGAUGACAGGUGGUGCAUGGUUGUCGUCAGCUCGUGUCGUGAGAUGUUGGGUUAAGUCCCGCAACGAGCGCAACCCCUAUCUUUAGUAGCCAGCGGUUUGGCCGGGCACUCUAGAGAGACUGCCACGGAUAACCUGGAGGAAGGUGGGGAUGACGUCAAAUCAUCAUGCCCCUUAUGAGCAGGGCUACACACGUGCUACAAUGGCGUAAACAAAGGGAGGCAGAACCGCGAGGUCGAGCAAAUCCCAAAAAUAACGUCUCAGUUCGGAUUGUAGUCUGCAACUCGACUACAUGAAGCUGGAAUCGCUAGUAAUCGCGAAUCAGAAUGUCGCGGUGAAUACGUUCCCGGGUCUUGUACACACCGCCCGUCACACCAUGGGAGUCAGUAACGCCCGAAGUCAGUGACCCAACCGUAAGGAGGGAGCUGCCGAAGGCGGGACCGAUAACUGGGGUGAAGUCGUAACAAGGUA
rnacentral:rRNA from 1 species